GGCAGCGUGGUGUAGUGGUUUGAGAAUUGGACUAUGACUCCAGAGACCAGGGUUCAAGUCCCUAUUCGGCCA
rnacentral:tRNA from 1 species